UACGGAGGGAGCUAGCGUUAUUCGGAAUUACUGGGCGUAAAGCGCACGUAGGCGGCGUUGUAAGUAAGAGGUGAAAGCCCAGAGCUCAACUCUGGAAUUGCCUUUUAGACUGCAUCGCUUGAAUCAUGGAGAGGUCAGUGGAAUUCCGAGUGUAGAGGUGAAAUUCGUAGAUAUUCGGAAGAACACCAGUGGCGAAGGCGGCUGACUGGACAUGUAUUGACGCUGAGGUGCGAAAGCGUGGGGAGCAAACAGG
rnacentral:rRNA from 1 species